UGAGCCAAGAGGUAAGGGUUAGUUCAUCUGCCUUGUAGGAGAGAGCGCUGAAAGAGAGAGGGAGAGAGCAACGUAAGGAGAGAAAAAGAGAGAACUGAGAGAGAGAAAGAGGGAACCGAGAGGGAAAAAGAAAGGAGGAGAAAGAGGAGGCUUAAGAAGUUGUGAAGGGAUUCACCAAAUUGAAGAUUGUAGGUGAGUAACAUGAAGGGUAACGUUAGAGUUAGCAUUUGAAGAUUCUUAAGAUAGCCUUCUUGGAGUUGUCGCUUGGGCGAAGUCUACAUUAUGAAAUUGUGUCUUGUGAAUGGUUAUAUUUCAUUUACUUGUGUGGGUAAUGUAAACAUGAUAUAUAUGUAAUAUUUUCAUGUUAGUUACGCACUA